CAGGAACCUAGUAAUUGCCUAUGCAAUUUUGUAAUACACCCAACCGCCAUUAGCAGAUUAUAAUUUAGUUGGUUUAGAUCUUUUACACGACAUUCCUCCAUCGUAGAAGUAAUGUUUUCAGUGGCGUCCUUCAUAAGAUCUAAUCUCCAUAACAUUACAAAGGACCACUCGUAGGCCAGCGGGAUUCAAAGCACACUACUCGUCUAUGAAUACUUGUCUAUGGACCAUGAUCCAACGAGCCGGAUGUCAACAUUUGCCCACGCGAUUUCACCCCUGAGGCUGCCGGCGAAAUGACAUGCCUCUUUUAUUCAACUCUUUACAGCUCCGCGAUGCAAUUGCAUGAGAAAUUUUCAAAGGAACGCGACCUCGAGGUGACUUAGGAUGUUCCUUAUUUACAAAAAAUCCGGAGUAAUUUUUGUGUUUUUAAAAUAAAGAGGGUUCACAACCGGU